CCCUUUUUUUUUUCCUCGGCACUGUUUGGAAUGUGAUUUAAAAAUACCACCUAAAGUCGCAGUUUGGGGAAAAGGUUUCUGGACGAGGAGAAUAGCUCGCAAGCAAGGAAUGGGCUAGUAUUAGAAGCCUGUACCAACAGCAGGCCAGACUCAAAUAUCAGCUAUGGCAACCCAUGCAUGAAGUUGAUGCCUUUGAACUAUUUCCUAUAGAUGAGACAUAGCACAUGCUGUGCUGUCUUCCACUGGGACAGAGGUGAAACUUCGACAGACCGCAUUUGUUGAGCAGUGGUCCCCAGAUUUGCAGCUCUCCCCAGGAAGACCUCAGAACAAUUACAAGUGUUUCACCUGGACAAAAUGUAAAACUUCGCUGUCAGACUAUCCUAUUU